rnacentral:rRNA from 1 species
UUACCGGGACCGACAGCAAUAUGAAGGCCAGGCUGAAGACUUUGCCGGAUUAGCUGAGAGGUGGUGCAUGGCCGUCGUCAGUUCGUACUGUGAAGCAUCCUGUUAAGUCAGGCAACGAGCGAGACCCACGCCCACAGUUGCCAGCGUACUCUCCGGAGUGACGGGUACACUGUGGAGACCGCCGCUGAUAAAGCGGAGGAAGGAGCGGGCCACGGCAGGUCAGUAUGCCCCGAAUCUCCCGGGCCACACGCGAGCUGCAAUGGCAGGUACAAUGGGUCCCGACCUCGAAAGGGGAAGGCAAUCUCGAAAGCCUGCCGUAGUUGGGAUCGAGGGUUGUAACCCAUCCUCGUGAACAUGGAAUCCCUAGUAAUCGCGUGUCAUCAGCGCGCGGUGAAUACGUCCCUGCUCCUUGCA